GUUUACGGCCAUACCAGCCUGGGUACGCCCGAUCUCGUCUGAUCUCGGAAGCUAAGCAGGGUCGGGCCGGUUAGUACUCGGAUGGGAGACCGCCAGGGAAUACCAGGUGCUGUAAGCU
rnacentral:rRNA from 1 species